GAUCAAGUGUCUUAAGGGCAAUUGGUGGAUGCCUUGGCAUGCACAGGCGAUGAAGGACGUGAUACGCUGCGAUAAGCUACGGGGAGGUGCGAAUACCCUUUGAUCCGUAGAUUUCCGAAUGGGGAAACCCACCUAAGGUACUUGGAAAAUCAGAGCAGCGGGAAGGUCGCAAGGCCGACUUGCUGCUGUGGUUUCCAAGUAUCGAUAAUAGGUAACUUAUCCUGAAUACAUAGGGAUAAAGUGGCGAACGCGGGGAACUGAAACAUCUAAGUACCCGUAGGAAAGGACAUCAACCGAGACUCCGGAAGUAGUGGCGAGCGAACCCGGACCAGGCCAGUGGCGAUUGAGAGACAAGCGGAACCUUCUGGAAAGUAGGGCCAUAGUGGGUGACAGCCCCGUACGCGUAAUGCAAUCAAUCGUCCUCGAGUAAGGCGGGACACGUGAAAUCCUGUCUGAAAUUGGGGGGACCACCCUCCAAGCCUAAGUACUCGUGCAUGACCGAUAGCGAACUAGUACCGUGAGGGAAAGGUGAAAAGCACCCCGACAAGGGGAGUGAAAGAGUACCUGAAACCGAUUGCCUACAAACAGUGGAAGCCCAAGGUUCGUCCUGGGUGACCACGUACCUUUUGUAUAAUGGGUCAGCGACUUAGUGUGACGAGCAAGCUUAAACCGCUAGGUGUAGGCGCAGCGAAAGCGAGUCUGAACAGGGCGUUCAGUUCGUCGCAUUAGACCCGAAACCGAGUGAUCUAGCCAUGAGCAGGUUGAAGGUAAGGUAACACUUACUGGAGGACCGAACCCAUAACUGUUGCAAUAGUUCGGGAUGACUUGUGGCUAGGGGUGAAAGGCCAAUCAAACUCGGAAAUAGCUGGUUCUCCGCGAAAUCUAUUUAGGUAGAGCGUCGACCGAAUACCCCAGGGGGUAGAGCACUGGAUGGGCUAGGGGUCCUCACCGGAUUACCAAACCUAACCAAACUCCGAAUACCUGGGAGUACUAGUCGGCAGACACACGGCGGGUGCUAACGUCCGUCGUGAAAAGGGAAACAACCCUGACCUACAGCUAAGGUCCCCAAGUUAUGGCUAAGUGGGAAAGGAUGUGAGGAUCCCAAAACAACCAGGAUGUUGGCUUAGAAGCAGCCAUCAUUUAAAGAAAGCGUAACAGCUCACUGGUCUAAAUAAGGGUCUUUGCGCCGAAAAUGUAACGGGGCUAAAGCCAUACACCGAAGCUUAGGGUUUGGUCCGCAAGGGCCAAGCGGUAGCGGAGCGUUCUGUAAGCUGAUGAAGCCAUACCCGUGAGGGGUGGUGGAGGUAUCAGAAGUGCGAAUGCUGACAUGAGUAACGUAAGGGGAGUGAGAGACUCCCCCGCCGAAAGACCAAGGGUUCCUGCUUAAAGCUAAUCUGAGCAGGGUUAGCCGGCCCCUAAGACGAGGCGGAAACGCGUAGUCGAUGGGAACCACGUUAAUAUUCGUGGGCUUGGAGGUAGUGACGGAUCAUUGAGGUAGUCCAAUCUUAUCGGAUUGAACGGGCUGCUGCGUGGUUCCAGGAAAUAGCUCCUCCUUAUAAACCGUACCCGAAACCGACACUGGUGGUCUGGUAGAGUAUACCAAGGCGCUUGAGAGAACUAUGCUGAAGGAACUCGGCAAAUUGCACGCGUAACUUCGGAAGAAGCGUGACCCUUUUCCACGCAAGUGGAGGAGGGUGGCACAGACCAGGGGGUAGCGACUGUUUAUCAAAAACACAGGGCUCUGCGAAGUCGCAAGACGACGUAUAGGGUCUGACGCCUGCCCGGUGCUGGAAGGUUAAGAGGAGGGGUGCAAGCUCUGAAUCGAAGCCCCAGUAAACGGCGGCCGUAACUAUAACGGUCCUAAGGUAGCGAAAUUCCUUGUCGGGUAAGUUCCGACCUGCACGAAUGGCGUAACGACUUCCCCGCUGUCUCCAGCAUAGACUCAGUGAAAUUGAAUUCCCCGUGAAGAUGCGGGGUUCCUGCGGUUAGACGGAAAGACCCCGUGCACCUUUACUAUAGCUUUACAUUGGCAUUCGUAGUGGCAUGUGUAGGAUAGGUGGUAGGCUUUGAAACCUGGGCGCCAGCUCAGGUGGAGCCACCCUUGAAAUACCACCCUUAUUACUAUGGAUGUCUAACCGCGGCCCGUUAUCCGGGUCCGGGACAAUGUAUGGUGGGUAGUUUGACUGGGGCGGUCGCCUCCUAAAGAGUAACGGAGGCGCGCGAUGGUGGGCUCAGAACGGUCGGAAAUCGUUCGCUGAGUGCAAUGGCAUAAGCCUGCCUGACUGCGAGACUGACAAGUCGAGCAGAGACGAAAGUCGGUCAUAGUGAUCCGGUGGUCCCGCGUGGAAGGGCCAUCGCUCAACGGAUAAAAGGUACGCCGGGGAUAACAGGCUGAUGACCCCCAAGAGUCCAUAUCGACGGGGUUGUUUGGCACCUCGAUGUCGACUCAUCGCAUCCUGGGGCUGGAGCAGGUCCCAAGGGUAUGGCUGUUCGCCAUUUAAAGCGGUACGUGAGUUGGGUUCAGAACGUCGUGAGACAGUUCGGUCCCUAUCUGCCGUGGGUGUAGGAAUAUUGAAAGGAUCUGUCCCUAGUACGAGAGGACCGGGAUGGACGGAUCUCUGGUGGACCUGUUGUGGCGCCAGCCGCAUAGCAGGGUAGCUAUAUCCGGACGGGAUAACCGCUGAAGGCAUCUAAGCGGGAAACCCACCUUAAAACGAGUAUUCCCUGAGAACCGUGGAAGACGACCACGUUGAUAGGCCGGGUGUGGAAGAGCGGCAACGCUUGAAGCUUACCGGUACUAAUAGUUCGAUCGGCUUGAUCGUUCUCAUU
rnacentral:rRNA from 1 species